rnacentral:rRNA from 2 species
GACGAAGGGGGCUAGCGUUGUUCGGAAUUACUGGGCGUAAAGCGAGUGUAGGUGGUUUUCCAAGUUGGAUGUGAAAGCCUUGAGCUCAACUCAAGAAAUGCAUUCAGGACUGGGAGACUAGAGGACCGGAGAGGAUAGUGGAAUUCCCAGUGUAGUGGUGAAAUACGUAGAGAUUGGGAAGAACACCAGUGGCGAAGGCGGCUAUCUGGACGGUUUCUGACACUAAGACUCGAAAGCGUGGGGAGCAAAC